UGUUAAUCCAGUGUUGCAUCCUGUAUCCAAUGUAGUAUCGGAUACGCUACUUGAUGGAUACGGUUGGAUACUUCUUCUGGUCAAGAAAUACGGUCAACUUCGACAGACACGCGUAUCAAAACUUCGGGAUAUGGGUUUUCUAUUUCCGGAUACGUCUGGCCUUCAAAUGAAAACUUUAAGAGGAGAAGCUCGAAAUUAUUUGAAACUCUGAUUCAGAGAAGUCCCAUACAAUUCUUCUUAUGUCACGUAGAGAGAGGGAUACGAAUGGUUUAUGGUUGAACUUAUGCGAGGAUCAGUUGUUUUGUUUACUUGGACCAAAUGGAGCUGGGAAAACCACGGCAAUUAUUCGUCUAACUGGCAUCACACCAGUGAUGGGCGGAGAUGAAAGCUUGAUUUCGUGGGAAAUUUUUUGACAGCGUUUGAAUGUUUUACCGAAAGAAGAGAACAAAGCCUUUCUGACUUUUGUUAUUCCUCAUUACAGAGAGGGCCUUUUGAAGGUAAUCAUUUCGCUUUCUACUUUCUUGUAUAUACUUUGAUUUAAUGAAAAAACUACGAAUUACUUGUUCCUUACAGAAGUCUCAGGUACGAAGUUCGCAGUUUUCUUCUGUUCUUAUUCCUUUGGAUUUUAUAAUCUUCUGCCGAUUUUUCUUUCCGGAGCUAUAUGGAGCUAAG